UACGUAGGCAGCAAGCGUUGUUCGGAAUUACUGGGCGUAAAGCGUGUGUAGGCGGUGUCAUAAGUUUGGUGUGAAAUCUCCCGGCUUAACUGGGAGGGUGCGCCGAAGACUGUGAUGCUCGAGUGUGGGAGAGGUAAGCGGAAUUCCUGGUGUAGCGGUGAAAUGCGUAGAUAUCAGGAGGAACACCUGUGGUGUAGACGGCUUACUGGACCACGACUGACGCUGAGACACGAAGGCCAGGGGAGCAAACGGG
rnacentral:rRNA from 1 species